rnacentral:lncRNA from 1 species
CUCAAUGAAAAAUAAAUGUACAGUUUUUAACCAAUGUACAUUGGUUUUGUCUUGGUCUGUUUUGAGUUUCUCAGCUUUGAAUAGUAAAGUUAAAGGGUAGAAUAGAAUCAAUCUUUGAGAAUGGGACAGUAAUGACAGUAGAUGUAGAUUGUGGAAAAAUUUGCCCUAUGAACUUUAAGCAACUGCCACUCUAGAUAAUGAAUAGAAUCAUUCUCUGAAUAUUUAAAUCACGAAUUCCUAAAGGUUGAAAAAUUGAUUUUGAAGUAAUUUCUCCACAUCUGUCCUUCUUUGUAUAUUGAUUGUGCAGAGAAUUGAUUUUGUAGAGAACUGUACUAAGAAUCACCUAAUCACCUCAAUUAUAAAAAUGAGUUUAAUGUUGUCAUUUGAUGUGUAAUAAUCUAAUUUUAUAGAAUUUCGAAUUGCGUUGGGUCU